rnacentral:rRNA from 1 species
UGGUGCAUGGUUGUCGUCAGCUCGUGUCGUGAGAUGUUGGGUUAAGUCCCGCAACGAGCGCAACCCUUGAUCUUAGUUGCCAUCAUUAAGUUGGGCACUCUAAGGUGACUGCCGGUGACAAACCGGAGGAAGGUGGGGAUGACGUCAAAUCAUCAUGCCCCUUAUGACCUGGGCUACACACGUGCUACAAUGGACGGUACAAAGAGCUGCAAGACCGCGAGGUGGAGCUAAUCUCAUAAAACCGUUCUCAGUUCGGAUUGUAGGCUGCAACUCGCCUACAUGAAGCUGGAAUCGCUAGUAAUCGCGGAUCAGCAUGCCGCGGUGAAUACGUUCCCGGGCCUUGUACACACCGCCCGUCACACCACGAGAGUUUGUAACACCCGAAGUCGGUGGGGUAACCUUUUUGGAGCCAGCCGCCUAAGGUGGGACAGAUGAUUGGGGUGAAGUCGUAACAAGGUAGCCGUAUCGGAAGGUGCGGCUGGAUCACCUCCU